AGCGAACGCUGGCGGCAUGCUUAACACAUGCAAGUCGCGCGGGUGGUUUCGGCCAUCAGCGGCGGACGGGUGAGUAUCGCGUAGGAAUGUAUCCCGAGGUGGGGGACAACCCUGGGAAACUGGGGCUAAUACCGCAUGGGGCCUGUGGGUCAAAGCCUUAGGGCGCCUUGGGAGCAGCCUGCGUCCGAUUAGGUAGUUGGUGGGGUAAAGGCCUACCAAGCCUGCGAUCGGUAGCUGGUCUGAGAGGACGAUCAGCCACACUGGGACUGAGACACGGCCCAGACUCCGACGGGAGGCAGCAGGUGGGAAUAAUGGACAAUGGGCACAAGCCUGAACCAGCAAUGCCGCGUGGGUGAAGAAGGUCUUCGGAUUGUAAAGCCCUUUCGGCGGGGACGAUGAUGACGGUACCCGCAGAAGAAGCCCCGGCUAACUUCGUG
rnacentral:rRNA from 1 species